GGGAACUUGAAGGACAGAAAUCCAAUACCAAGAAAAUGGAGUGAAAAACUAAAAGAAUGUAUUUUAUUUCAUUUAGCAGAUAAAUGAGACAAAUCCCUAAAUGGUUUUGUGUCUCACCAAACAUGACUAUACAGCAGUUAUGGAUGGAACCUUUUUCAGUUUGAAAAUUGGAAGCGUGUUCUUUUGAAUUUCAUUUCCUUCCAAUGCAGAAAAUGUGUUGAAUGAAGUUGCUUUCUUAAUGAUGCUAUACUGGAUUUUAUUACUUUGACCCUGAAGGAAAUGAUGAAGUACCCUGAGUUUCUCGGCUCUUUUAACUUUCCAUCUACAAAUAACUAAUUUUUUCCCUAUGGUACAUGUUGGCAUCCACGCUCUAAAAAGUGAGAAGACCAAAGUAUGAAUUCUCUAUUCUGAGUGCCACUCAACCAAGGCAAGUUUAGAAGCAGAUACUAAGAACAUGCCUCCAAGUUAGGGUAUAUGUAUUGCUGUUGCUCUUGAAAAAUACUCAGAAAACUUGUUUUUGGGGAAAUGGUUGAUCUCCCCAAAACUAGCUGCAAAGGAAAUUCCUGCUGAACCUUUAUAUCCAAAAUAUUCAAUUGAUUAGCAAACAUCAAUAAUCAGUGGAAAAAUACAAAGCAUGACUAACCUUAGAAUGCCUAAAACUGAUUUGCUAUAAUUGUGUUCCAUGUGUGACAUCAAUCACCAUUUUAAUUCCCUCCUCGCCUCUUUUUAAUUUUGGGUAUUGAGUUCCUGAUUGGGAUUAUGAGUUGAUCUCCCCAAAACUAGCUGCAAAGGAAAUUCCUGCUGAACCUUUAUAUCCAAAAUAUUCAAUUGAUUAGCAAACAUCAAUAAUCAGUGGAAAAAUACAAAGCAUGACUAACCUUAGAAUGCCUAAAACUGAUUUGCUAUAAUUGUGUUCCAUGUGUGACAUCAAUCACCAUUUUAAUUCCCUCCUCGCCUCUUUUUAAUUUUGGGUAUUGAGUUCCUGAUUGGGAUUAUGA
rnacentral:misc_RNA from 1 species